rnacentral:piRNA from 1 species
UUGACCUCCUGCUUCUUGCUCUGGCA